rnacentral:lncRNA from 1 species
UGGUGAUCAGAUAAGCCGAUUCUUCGAUGAGUUAUUCUCUCUGUUUAGGUCUGAUCUAUAUGAGAAAAAAUGUAGCAUUUAGUUCUUGCUUCUCUCACUAGCGAGUCCGUCCACCAUUUCUACUCCGAAGAAUAUGAAUUAGAUUCACAUCCUCGAAAUCCUUCUGUAAUCUCUGAAACCUCUCGAUCUCUGUCGCGAGGGUUGGCCAGUCCAUGGAUUCGUAGUCAUGUCCACUAGGUCCAAGCAGUCCGUCUCGAAAACAAUCGAGGUUAUCCUCAUGUCUCUCGUAUAUAAAACUGUCCAAAAUAAGCCUUACAUCUCAGCAUGUAAAGCUGAGAGGCUUCUGCCGCAUGCCCGUAGUCCAAAAGAUUCAGAGUCCAUUUGAUCCUUAAGACUCUACCCUAAGCCACUAACACUACCUUUAUCGAUACAUGACGCAUCAAUUUGACAGAUAGGGAUUUGAGUUAUCCAAAGAGAACAUUGUCUCAAUCUCUGUAGUACGAGAGUCCUCAUGAUCCUCUGUAUAUAUUUUAAUCUUAAUAUUUAUUAAAUGAUACUUUGAAAUUAUAUAAU